rnacentral:rRNA from 1 species
ACAGAGGUGGCAAGCGUUGUUCGGAAUUAUUGGGCGUAAAGCGUGCGCAGGCGGUUCGUUAAGACAGGUGUGAAAUCCCCGGGCUUAACCUGGGAAUGGCGCUUGUGACUGGCGGGCUGGAGUACGGCAGAGGGGGGUGGAAUUCCACGUGUAGCAGUGAAAUGCGUAGAGAUGUGGAGGAACACCGAUGGCGAAGGCAGCCCCCUGGGCCGAUACUGACGCUCAUGCACGAAAGCGUGGGGAGCAAACAG